rnacentral:lncRNA from 1 species
GCUGGGUCCAUGUGUCAAACAUAGAGUGAGUUAGAGGAAGAAGGAUAUGAUGAAAGAUUACAAGGUCAUGUUGGGAAAAAUUAUCUCCAGGCUGAGAGGGGUUGGCACAAACUGAAGUUUGAAAUGACACAGACAAUCUCUGGUUUAUCCACUGCCAACAGCAAAUAAAUAAAGGAGAAGACAUAAAAUGGAGACCAGCUGGUGGACAUGUUUUAGAUUUGCAGAGCAUCAGAGCUGUCUGGGAUGAGAAAACAGAAUGGACUGUAGAGGUUCUGCACCAGCAGACCAAGCACAGACUUCCAGGAGGCUCUAGCCCAAGUGGACAAGACAAACAGGACAGAGGAGCAAAGGACUAGAUAAGCAAAAGCAAGGACUGACUUUCCGGAGAAUCUGCCUAACUUCCACUUCACAUUUAAGAUGCCAAAAUAGUUCCUCAACAAAAUUCUUGCAAGGCUGCUACUGCUUUAUGGAAAGGUUCAGAACCAUACCUGGAAGGUUAUCCAAAGACUCCAAUGAGCAUAUCUUCUCCAGACAGCAUUUUGCACUUGCAUAUGAGCUGCAGCCUUUCCAAAAGUUGGGGAAAUCCUGCAAAGAAGGAACAUGGCAUCUGAUUCUUGGAAUAACAUUCUCUCUACACUCUUCCAGCUGCUGUGGAUACAUAUAAUGACUGAUUUUAUUUAAUAAGAAAGCUCAAAAUGUUUCCCAAUUCAAAACAUAACCCUGCAUGCUGUUCCCUCUAGUCUAACCAGAAAUCCCAUUCUCCUCCUCCUGUAACUCAAUAAACCAAAUCUAACUGGAGAAUAAUUAUAAAAUACACUGAUGUGCAAUUUGUUUCACUUGCUCAAUAAUUAAUUAAUACACUACUUACGGUUCAGAAGAGCUCUUAAG